UACGUAGGGUGCGAGCGUUGUCCGGAAUUAUUGGGCGUAAAGAGCUCGUAGGCGGUCUGUCGCGUCGAUCGUGAAAACUUGGGGCUUAACCCUGAGCUUGCGGUCGAUACGGGCAUGACUGGAGUUCGGCAGGGGAGACUGGAAUUCCUGGUGUAGCGGUGAAAUGCGCAGAUAUCAGGAGGAACACCAAUUGCGAAGGCAGCUCGCUGGGACGUAACUGACGCUGAGACGCGAAAGCGUGGGGAGCAAACAGG
rnacentral:rRNA from 1 species